rnacentral:rRNA from 1 species
GACGAAGGAUGCAAGCGUUAUCCGGAUUCAUUGGGUUUAAAGGGAGCGUAGGCGGCCCAGUAAGUCAGUGGUGAAAUCUCUCGGCUUAACCGAGAAAUUGCCAUUGAUACUGCAGGGCUUGAGUACAGUUGCCGUUGGCGGAAUAUGACAUGUAGUGGUGAAAUACAUAGAGAUGUCAUAGAACACCGAUUGCGAAGGCAGCUAACGAAACUGUAACUGACGCUGAGGCUCGAAAGUGCGGGGAGUCAAAACAGG